rnacentral:rRNA from 1 species
AGUGAACGCUGGCGGUAGGCCUAACACAUGCAAGUCGAACGGCAGCACAGUAAGAGCUUGCUCUUACGGGUGGCGAGUGGCGGACGGGUGAAGAAUACAUCGGAACCUACUUUUUCGUGGGGGAUAACGUAGGGAAACUUACGCUAAUACCGCAUACGACCUACGGGUGAAAGCAGGGGAUCUUCGGACCUUGCGCGUUUGUUUUAGCCGAUGUCGGAUUAGCUAGUUGGCGGGGUAAAGGCCCACCAAGGCGACGAUCCGUAGCUGGUCUGAGAGGAUGAUCAGCCACACUGGAACUGAGACACGGUCCAGACUCCUACGGGAGGCAGCAGUGGGGAAUAUUGGGCAAUGGGCGCAAGCCUGAUCCAGCCAUACCGCGUGAGUGAAGAAGGCCUUCGGGUUGUAAAGCCCUUCUGUUGGGAAAGAAAAGCAGCAGGUUAAUACCCCGCUGUUCUGACGGUACCCAAAGAAUAAGCACCGGCUAACUUCGUG